rnacentral:lncRNA from 1 species
AGUGGAUUAUUGCAGGGAUUUUAUCUUGCAGUAAUCUCCAGGGAGAAAUGUACAAACAGCUGGGAGAGCAAGAAGGAACCGCAUUGUGUGGCAGGAGUUUGUGGAGCAGAAUUUUAGAGUGCUGGAGUGGAUCUCAAUACCAACAUGAAUCUUUUCUGUUUUUCUCUGGUCUUUUCAGAGAAGAAAAACUAAGUAAAGGAUUUCAAAAGAUGGGGGAGGAGGGCUCGAUGGACAGCCUGUAUGAGCCUGUCCCAGAACAACAGGAAGCCAAGGAUGCAGCUACUCUUGAAAGUCAGGCUGGCACUCCAGCGAGCACACAUGGAAACUGUGGGCCACCUGACAGGUCUAUCUCUUUGGGGUAUUAUGGUUGUCAGCUUCCUGGGAGCUAUGGAUAACUGAAGAACUGAAGCCUCCUGAAAUCAGG